AACAGGACAGUUUGAAACUGUUCAUGAAGAGACUGUUAUCUGGUGCAUGAUUUAUGAAAAUGCUUUCUUUAUUUCCCCAGCCUAGUAUUAGAUUCUUGCUUAAGAGAAAACAGCUUGGUUCCAAUUACCAAUAUGAAGCUGACUUUGGGAUCUGUAAUUUAUGAGCUGCCAUGGAAACAAGUCACAUGUCUCCCUUCACCACAGGAGAUCCAGAGAUUUCAUUUGAAGCCUAUAGAAUUUACCUCAAAUUGGUUUCAAAGACAACUGCUAAGAUUGAAAAAAAAUAUAAUCACCAGCCCUCAGUGAAAACAUCCUAAGUCCCCAGAACUAACAUCAAAGAAGCACCAUUCUAUAGUUUUCCUGCCAUCUAGAGUGUGUUGAGAAGGUGCCAGGAUGAACUGUUGACAGGCUUUGUCGGGUUUAGGUUGUUGCCUUGUAGAGCAUGAUGCCAAAGAGUGACUGACUGCCUAGAAUCCCGGCAGAGCAGGACGGUAAAAUAAGCCUAACCAAAAACUGAGUAUAAAAAGAGAGGAAAAGGUGUGACUUCAAGAGAAAAUGCUGCCAUGGAGACAGAUCAAACUUUUGAAAAGGAAAAGAAGCACUACAAAGGGAGAAAAAGAAAAAUGAACAGAUUGCUGGGAGAAUUAUUCUAGAACUGAACAUAUCUGAAGUGUCAGGCAACACCUCUCUAAAAAUGCACUUGGAAUGCAGCCAUCACAUUUCAACACUAGACUGUUUUCAAGUGUUAUGAAAGACAUGUGAGAUUUGGUGUCAAUUCUACCCUUGGAAUUCAGAAAGAAAUCAGG